AGUUAACUGUGAUGAAUUAAAAACAAUUGCAAAAUAUAGGCCAAAAUAACCAUCUUUAAAUAUGGGAAGUGAUUAAAUGUGGAUAUUUUGGCCUUUAGUCAGUUUUCAGUUCUUCACAAUUAUGGUUAGGUGUUUACAAUGAAUCAUGGGAAAAUAAGCUACUCAACAACAAGACAGCUACCUAUUGGCCACAAUGCUGUCUGAUUUCACUUUCAUCUAAGUGUUAC